rnacentral:rRNA from 1 species
UAGGGAAUCUUCCGCAAUGGGCGAAAGCCUGACGGAGCAAUGCCGCGUGAGUGAAGAAGGCCUUCGGGUCGUAAAACUCUGUUAUAAGAGAAGAACAAAUUGUAGAGUAACUGCUACAGUCUUGACGGUAUCUUAUCAGAAAGCCACGGCUAACUACGUGCCAGCAGCCGCGGUAAUACGUAGGUGGCAAGCGUUGUCCGGAUUUAUUGGGCGUAAAGGGAGCGCAGGUGGUUUCUUAAGUCUGAUGUGAAAGCCCACGGCUUAACCGUGGAGGGUCAUUGGAAACUGGGAAACUUGAGUACAGAGGAGGAAUGUGGAACUCCAUGUGUAGCGGUGGAAUGCGUAGAUAGAUGGAAGAACACCAGUGGCGAAGGCGACAUUCUGGUCUGUUACUGACACUGAGGCUCGAAAGCGUGGGGAGCAAACAGG